rnacentral:tRNA from 1 species
GGUCGGAAGUUCAAGUCUUCCCAGGCCCACCACACUCAUCGAGUGAGCAUUCGUCUUCUGGUUACGGGGCCAUAGCUCAGCUGGGAGAGCGCGUGCUUUGCAAGCAUGAGGUGUCGGUUCGAUCCCGUCUGGCUCCACCAGAUGGUUUGAUCACCGACUACUCAUACCGUCGUCCGCGAAACAUCACUUCGCACUUACUAGUCCGGAUGGACAGUAAGCUGCGUGAUUUCUGACAUCGUAAAGAGGAGAUCGAUCCGAGUUGGAUCGGGCAACGAGCAAUUGUUGCGCGAUACUUCAUUAUCUCCGGAUCAUUUCGGCGCUCGUGCGUCUUCCAGGGUAGCUCACAAGGCUGCAUUGAGAGACGGGCGAGUUGUAAAUGAUCCUUUUAGCGAAGCUUGACCGCCUCGCUAUCGGAACGAUCUUACGAAGCAAGCUGGUCUUUCUAAUCAUUGUCCGGCUGCAGAUAGCGUUCAUCGAGGGCGCGUACCGCAAGGUAGUUCUGCAGACAACAUUCUGCCGAGUGUGUGGACAUUGAUAAUGAGAGC